CAAAAACUUCUGCUGCCUGAUGCCACACCCCGAGAUCCUGAUCUAACUGCUCUGAGGUGAGAAACUGGUGCUCUCAGAGAGCGUAUGAGUGGCCCAAUGUCACACUACCUCUGGGUGUGUGCAUGUGGAGCCAGGAUUUGAUCCUGGGCAGAUCAAACCCCAAGUGCCACCAGGUGCAGUCGAUCACAUGCUGACCCCCCACUUUACUGAUGAGAAAACUGAGACCUAGAGAGGUUGAGUAACCUGUCCAAGACACCUGGAUGAUAAGCCGGACCCAGCCAACAAGCCCAGCCAGCUUGAUGCCAGAAUCCUCUUACCUGACCUCUGUGCCUGCCAUCCCAGCUGCUAGAGUGGAGAGCCGGCCUUUCCUCGCUGCAGGAUGGACCCUAGGCCUCUCUCUGGGUUUCCAGAUCCUGCUCUGAAGAGCCGGCCUUUCCUCGCUGCAGGAUGGACCCUAGGCGUCUCUCUGGGUUUCCAGAUCCUGCUCUGGAGAGCCGGCCUUUCCUCGCUGCAGGAUGGACCCUAGGCGUCUCUCUGGGUUUCCAGAUCCUGCUCUGGAGAGCCGGCCUUUCCUCGCUGCAGGAUGGACCCUAGGCGUCUCUCUGGGUUUCCAGAUCCUGCUCUGGAGAGCCGGCCUUUCCUCGCUGCAGGAUGGACCCUAGGCCUCUCUCUGGGUUUCCAGAUCCUGCUCUGGAGAGCCGGCCUUUCCUCGCUGCAGGAUGGACCCUAGGCGUCUCUCUGGGUUUCCAGAUCCUGCUCUGAAGAUGAGGAGAUGACAUUUAGCACCAGCCUUCUCUAACUGGCUCUAAGAGGAAUCGGUGUUCCCUGGUGGUUCAGGAGUCAAAAGGGCCAACUGUAGCUUUAUUCCUCUUUCAAAGGAAAUAAAGCAGAGGUCCUAUUUGGGGAUAGGCCCUAUGCCUGAGUUACUUUGGCACUUAAUUGCUAUUAUUUAAUUGCUGUAUUGGGGAGCACAAAGUGAUCUACUGCAAAGUUAUUAGCAAAUUCUAGUUUUAAGGAAAUAAUUACUGAAUUCUCCCUCCCUGGGUUGAGUAAUUCCUUCCAAGAUGCUCAGCGACAUUAAGCAU
rnacentral:lncRNA from 1 species